CCAAAGGUUGGCUGCAGAAUGUUAAGGUCCCAACAGGACAACAGGGGCAGGUGUCGGCACAGGAGGGCGAAUGACGGGCAGCAAGGCCUCAGAACUGGGACUCCAGUUUCUCUCCCGGGGAAGAAAAGGAGGCGGCACCGAUCCGGACAGAUGAGGGCCAGGCAGCAGCAUCCUGGCAUUACCGCAGCAGGAGGGAGGAGCCAACGGUGCCACGUGGUUCCCAAAUGCCAAGCGCAGCCUGAGAGAGGAGGAAACAGGAGAGAAGGGGAGGCCGGGGGGCCGCUUGGUGCCCAAGAUUUCUCAGAUGUCCCAGAGCCCUGACUCUGCUGCCAGCUUGCUUUACAGUGAGGCCAAGGAAGAAGCCACGGAGCGGGUGCCGGCCCUAGGAGCAGGAUUCCUGUGUGUUCACUAAGCUUGCAGCAUCAAGAAGCCACCAGCCAGCAUGGACAUGUGAGCGUCAGCGGGAGGGAAAACAAAACACUCAUGGGAAGAAGCGGGACCAGGCUCCAGUCGCAAAGUUGCCCUUCAUGCUUCACGCAAGAAAAAGGCCUCGGAGGGAGCUGUGAGGACAUGAUCAAAUCACUGUGCCAGCUGAAGUCACCAGGGGGCCACCACUCCAAGGAACCCUGAAGAUGGUGGACAGGAAUUAGGAAGUGUUGAACCGUCUUAGAUGGAAUGCUGUUCAUAUGAAAGCAAGACGCUCUAUCCUAGAAUUGCUUUUAUCAUUUGGUUCUAUUGCCACUUUUCGAAAAUUCUGUGACGUGAAGCAUGCAGAAAUAAAAAGAAGUAACACAGAAAUUCUCAGGUCCAUCAGCCAAGGGGGCCUUGCUGACUGCAGGCGGAGGUCUCAGGCCCGCCCAGCCCUGGCGUCUCCACAGGGCUCUGACCCCGAGCCAGCUCCACAGCCCCCUCUAUUCUCCCCCGGCGCUCACGAUUCAACAACACGGACUUCGUA